rnacentral:rRNA from 1 species
AACGAACGCUGGCGGCAUGCCUAACACAUGCAAGUCGAACGAACCCUUCGGGGUUAGUGGCGCACGGGUGCGUAACGCGUGGGAAUCUGCCCUUGGCUUCGGAAUAACAGUUAGAAAUGACUGCUAAUACCGGAUGAUGUCGCAAGACCAAAGAUUUAUCGGCCAGGGAUGAGCCCGCGUAGGAUUAGGUAGUUGGUGGGGUAAAGGCCUACCAAGCCGACGAUCCUUAGCUGGUCUGAGAGGAUGAUCAGCCACACUGGGACUGAGACACGGCCCAGACUCCUACGGGUGGCAGCAGUGGGGAAUAUUGGACAAUGGGGGCAACCCUGAUCCAGCAAUGCCGCGUGAGUGAAGAAGGCCUUAGGGUUGUAAAGCUCUUUUGCCAGGGACGAUAAUGACGGUACCUGGAGAAUAAGCCCCGGCAAACUUCGUGCCAGCCGCCGCAGUAAAAC